AUUGAACGCUGGCGGCAGGCCUAACACAUGCAAGUCGAGCGGAUGAGGAAAGCUUGCUUUUCGAUUCAGCGGCGGACGGGUGAGUAAUGCCUAGGAAUCUGCCUGUUAGGGGGGGUUAACUCGGGGAAACUCGGGCUAAUACCGCAUACGUCCUACGGGAGAAUGGGGGGGAUCUUCGGACUUCACGCUAACAGAUGAGCCUAGGUCGGAUUAGCUAGUAGGUGAGGUAAUGGUUCACCUAGGCGACGAUCCGUAUCUGGUCUGAGAGGAUGAUCAGUCACACUGGAACUGAGACAUGGUCCAGACUCCUACGGGAGGCAGCAGUGGGGAAUAUUGGACAAUGGGCGGAAGCCUGAUCCAGCCAUGCCGCGUGUGUGAAGAAGGCCUUUUGGUUGUAAAGCACUUUAAGCGAGGAGGAGGCUCUUAAGGUUAAUACCCUUGAUGAGUGGACGUUACUCGCAGAAUAAGCACCGGCUAACUCUGUGCCAGCAGCCGCCGUAAGAC
rnacentral:rRNA from 1 species